rnacentral:rRNA from 1 species
AUGCCUUCCUGGGUGGGACGUUCCCCUAUGAGCAGCUUUAAUUUUCUCACGGGAAGGCUUUGGAAGAGACUAAACGGUUGCAGUGACACGCCGUUAUCCAGAUCAGGCAAGGAAGUGCUGUUGAAGUCAGUGGUGCAAGCCAUCCCAAGAUAUGUGAUGAGUUGCUUUCAAAUACCAGCAACGGUAUGUGAGAAGAUGCGAAGACCUAUCUCCAACUUUUGGUGGGGAAUGGAAGAUGGGAAGAAGAAAAUUCAUUGGAGGUCAUGGGAUUGGUUAUCUACACCUAAAUAUCUCGGAGGAAUGGGGUUCAGGGAUUUGAUGCUCUUUAAUCAGGCCAUGCUUGCAAAGCAAUGUUGGAGGCUCCUGGUUGAUCCCAAUUCCUUAUGCUUUAAGGUCCUAAAAGGGAGAUAUUUCCCACAUGGUGAUUUCUGGAGAUCAGGAUGCCCAAGAUCAGCCUCCUAUACCUGGCGUAGCAUAAUGUUUGGUAAGAAACUGCUGCAAAAGGGCUUGUUAUGGUGUGUGGGAGAUGGUAAGCAAAUCUCUUUGCUUAAGGAUAAUUGGAUCCCAGAUGCAUUUCUAGGAUUGCCAUGUACCAACGUCCCAGUGGAAGAGGAUUGGACUAUCAACCAUUUGAUCUCAACAGAUGGUAAAUACUGGAAUGAAGAUGCAGUUAAUAAAAUGUUUCCAGAAGAAUUAGCCGUUAAGAUUAUGAAGAUCCCUCUAAGUUCAGAAGGAUGUUCUGACUUUGCUUCAUGGCCAUACACAAAGGGGGGGGCAUCUACACUGUUCGGUUUGGAUACAACCUUGCGAGAUCUGUAG